rnacentral:sRNA from 1 species
GAUAAAAGCUGAAAGCAGAAGAAACACGGAAAUCAAAGAAAAACCUUCGAAAACAACAAUAACAACUCAGUAGUCCUCCUUUGAACUAACACCGACAUGCGUGACUGUUGAAAUAAAAAAAAAAUAAUUCAUAAAAGCAUUCGAAAAUGUAAACGAAAAGCGCACGUUUGAAGCACAAGCAAAAAAAAAAAAAAA